rnacentral:misc_RNA from 1 species
UGAGAAGGGCAUCCUUCUCACUCUUGAUACAACUUGCACUUGCAUCAGCUCUGGUGUAACCAAGCAUUAGACUUUCCAUGAAAAGAAGCACAAGUAGCAUCUCAAGAUAGCUAACAGAUGUUCCCAUGACUGCUUGUAUGCCAGGAAACUAAAAUUUUGAAUAUUUUACUUUCUAAUUUUAAUGGUCUCUAUAUAUGAAUAGUUAGUUGACCAUUAUACGGAACGUAUUGUAGAG